UACGUAGGGUCCGAGCGUUGUCCGGAAUUAUUGGGCGUAAAGCGCGCGCAGGCGGCUUCGCAAGUCGAGUGUGAAAUCCCCGAGCUUAACUUGGGAAUUGCGCUCGAAACUACGGAGCUGGAGUGUGGCAGAGGAAGGUGGAAUUCCACGUGUAGCGGUGAAAUGCGUAGAGAUGUGGAGGAACACCGAUGGCGAAGGCAGCCUUCUGGGCCAACACUGACGCUCAUGCACGAAAGCGUGGGGAGCAAACAGG
rnacentral:rRNA from 1 species